rnacentral:rRNA from 1 species
GACGUAGGGGGCGAGCGUUGUCCGGAUUUAUUGGGCGUAAAGAGCGUGUAGGCGGCUAGGUAGGUCCGUUGUGAAAACUCGAGGCUCAACCUCGAGACGUCGAUGGAAACCAUCUAGCUAGAGUCCGGAAGAGGAGAGUGGAAUUCCUGGUGUAGCGGUGAAAUGCGCAGAUAUCAGGAGGAACACCAAUGGCGAAGGCAGCACUCUGGGACGAUACUGACGCUGAGACGCGAAAGCGUGGGGAGCAAACAGG